rnacentral:rRNA from 1 species
GCCCUUCGGGGUGGAUUAGUGGCGAACGGGUGAGUAACACGUGGGCAAUCUGCCCUGCACUCUGGGACAAGCCCUGGAAACGGGGUCUAAUACCGGAUAACACCUUCUCUCGCAUGGGAGGGGGUUGAAAGCUCCGGCGGUGCAGGAUGAGCCCGCGGCCUAUCAGCUUGUUGGUGAGGUAGAAGCUCACCAAGGCGACGACGGGUAGCCGGCCUGAGAGGGCGACCGGCCACACUGGGACUGAGACACGGCCCAGACUCCUACGGGAGGCAGCAGUGGGGAAUAUUGCACAAUGGGCGAAAGCCUGAUGCAGCGACGCCGCGUGAGGGAUGACGGCCUUCGGGUUGUAAACCUCUUUCAGCAGGGAAGAAGCGAAAGUGACGGUACCUGCAGAAGAAGCGCCGGCUAACUACGUGCCAGCAGCCGCGGUAAUACGUAGGGCGCAAGCGUUGUCCGGAAUUAUUGGGCGUAAAGAGCUCGUAGGCGGCUUGUCACGUCGGUUGUGA